rnacentral:ncRNA from 1 species
UUGAGCUGUAUGCAGAGAAAUUUGCCCGUACAGUUCUUAGGGGGCUGAAGCGCAGUAAUGCGCUUUGGCUACCCGAC